UGACCUCAAAUCAGGUAGGACUACCCGCUGAACUUAAGCAUAUCAAUAAGCGGAGGAAAAGAAACUAACAAGGAUUCCCCUAGUAACUGCGAGUGAAGCGGGAAAAGCUCAAAUUUAAAAUCUGGCAGUCUUUUGGCUGUCCGAGUUGUAAUCUAGAGAAGUGUUAUCCGCGCUGGACCAUGUACAAGUCUCCUGGAAUGGAGCAUCAUAGAGGGUGAGAAUCCCGUCUUUGACAUGGACUUCCAGGGCUUUGUGAUGCGCUCUCAAAGAGUCGAGUUGUUUGGGAAUGCAGCUCAAAAUGGGUGGUAAAUUCCAUCUAAAGCUAAAUAUUGGCGAGAGACCGAUAGCGAACAAGUACCGUGAGGGAAAGAUGAAAAGAACUUUGGAAAGAGAGUUAAACAGUACGUGAAAUUGCUGAAAGGGAAACGCUUGAAGUCAGUCGCGUCGUCCAGGGAUCAACCUUGCUUUUGCUUGGUGCACUUCCUGGUUUGAUGGGUCAGCAUCAAUUUUGACUAUUGGAAAAAGGUUAAGGGAAUGUGGCAUCUUUGGAUGUGUUUAUAGCCCUUGGUCACAUACAAUGGUUGGGAUUGAGGAACUCAGCACGCCGCAAGGCCGGGUUUAAACCACGUACGUGCUUAGGAU
rnacentral:rRNA from 1 species